UACGUAGGGGGCGAGCGUUGUCCGGAUUUAUUGGGCGUAAAGAGCUCGUAGGCGGUUUGGCAAGUCGGGUGUGAAAACUCCGGGCUCAACUCGGAGACGCCACUCGAUACUGCUAUGACUCGAGUCCGGUAGGGGAGUGCGGAAUUCCUGGUGUAGCGGUGAAAUGCGCAGAUAUCAGGAGGAACACCGGUGGCGAAGGCGGCACUCUGGGCCGGAACUGACGCUGAGGCGCGAAAGCUAGGGGAGCGAACAGG
rnacentral:rRNA from 1 species